GAGGGUAUAGCUCAGAGGUAGAGCACAUGCUUAACAUGCACGAGGUCCUGGUUCAAUCCCCAGUGCCUCCG
rnacentral:tRNA from 1 species